rnacentral:sRNA from 1 species
AUGACAGAUGAUGAUGUAGAGGAUGAUGAUUAUGAACCAAGUUUUAACAUCACUCUAAGAGAAGGACUUGACACCACUGCUGCUACUGAUGAUGAUGAAGAUGACGAAUGCAUAAUACUGGAGGAGUUCAGAGGAGUUGAUUUGGUUGUUCUUGGGGAUGGAAGAAUGGACAAGAAGGGGAUGAAAAUUAUAGAAGUUGUGACUGAUGCACAUGUGCAGAUUUCAUCACUAAUGAAGAAAAACUAUCCAGACAUCAAGCAUUCAUUUGAUGUUUGGCAUGGGACCAAGAACUUGGGAAAAAAAAUCAUCAAGGCAGGUCAAGAAAAGAAGAAUAAAGGUUUGCUGGACUGGACCAAAGAUGUGGUUAACCAUUACUGGUAUACAGCACAAACUUGUACUACAAAAGAAGACUUUGUUGGGAUGUGGAUUGGUGUAUUACAUCAUGUAGUAAAUAGAAGUUAUGACAAACAAAGAUGGAUCUAUCAGGUACCAGAGAGUUUUUCAGAAGAAAAGUAG